CAUACUAACAGCCGGAGUUGAACUAACCUAAUAACUGUCGUGUUCCGAGUGUCUUUUCCGCCUGGUGUGUGCGGUUUAGUUUACAGCUGGACUGGCGCGGAGAAGUCACGAAAAUAGGCAUGUUGCGGAGACACAAUAAGUGGGAAGCGGUCUUCGGUUCUAAAAUUUUAAUCUGGAAGCCACUGCUAGAAACAGAUAAUCAAUUCUAGCCUACAGGUAUUGAUAUAACCUUUCGUGUAAAUUUUAAACUGAGUACACAAUGCCAGUGUUAAAGGGACAUUCCUGAGUUUGCUGCAAUUUUUAAGAUGUUAUCGACUAACCGAGACUGUUUAACGAUUGUAAUUACAUAUCAAAUAUAUUUUCCUGCAUAACAUAUUAGUGGCUGUAUAUUAAACGUGUUUCUGAUCGUUCUAAUAUUUGUACUAGGUUAAAUUUCAUUUUAUUUCCUACAAUAUAGAAUUAAAUGCAUAUGGUGUAUUUUCAGCGGCAAGUGCCUCUUGCUCCUUGUAAAAUUCGAGCCCUGCAUUUAGUAGCUCUACUGUGGGUUUGUUUUAUCCAUUAGUUAACGUUCCAUUCUUUAUACGCAAGCGCAGUAAUGAGCCGUGUCAGUAAUGAAUACUCCAUUGUGGUUUUUACUGUCUGAACCAAAACUUAAUUUUAUUACAGCCAAAACCUGCUGUUUAACUCUACAGAGACAUAGAGACUUUUUUUUCUUUUUUUUUGGAUUAAUUUGUAUGUUUCAUUUAUUGUCAAAAGCUUAUUUUAAUACUACGAUGACGUAUCCAUAUGUACAUGUAUUAGUAUUAAUAUCUUUGGUUUUUAAAUUUAGUAUAAAUGUGAAUAUUUGCAUGUUUAUUGUAUAUAUCGUCUCUCAUAUUGUAAUUCCCUAUGGAAUGGCUUAUGUACUUUUAUAUGUUUAUUUUAAGUGUAAUUAUGUUGUAUAUGAGGUGAGACGUAAAUAAAGAUAGUUGUCUGUCUA